GACUUGAGGAAGGUAGGGGAGAAUGGAAUUCCUGGUGGAGCGGUGGAAUGCGCAGAUAUCAGGAGGAACACCAGUGGCGAAGGCGGUUCUCUGGGCCUUUCCUGACGCUGAGGAGCGAAAGCGUGGGGAGCGAACAGGCUUAGAUACCCUGGUAGUCCACGCUGUAAACGGUGGGUACUAGGUGUGGGGUCCAUUCCACGGGUUCCGUGCCGUAGCUAACGCUUUAAGUACCCCGCCUGGGGAGUACGGCCGCAAGGCUAAAACUCAAAGGAAUUGACGGGGCCCCGCACAAGCGGCGGAGCAUGCGGAUUAAUUCGAUGCAACGCGUAGAACCUUACCUGGGUUUGACAUGGAUCGGGAGUGCUCAGAGAUGGGUGUGCCUCUUUUGGGGUCGGUUCACAGGUGGUGCAUGGCUGUCGUCAGCUCGUGUCGUGAGAUGUUGGGUUAAGUCCCGCAACGAGCGCAACCCUUGUUCACUGUUGCCAGCACGUUAUGGUGGGGACUCAGUGGAGACCGCCGGGGUCAACUCGGAGGAAGGUGGGGAUGACGUCAAGUCAUCAUGCCCCUUAUGUCCAGGGCUUCACGCAUGCUACAAUGGCUGGUACAGAGAGUGGCGAGCCUGUGAGGGUGAGCGAAUCUCGGAAAGCCGGUCUCAGUUCGGAUUGGGGUCUGCAACUCGACCUCAUGAAGUCGGAGUCGCUAGUAAUCGCAGAUCAGCAACGCUGCGGUGAAUACGUUCCCGGGGCUUGUACACACCGCCCGUCAAGUCAUGAAAGUUGGUAACACCCGAAGCCGGUGGCCUAACCGUUGUGGGGGAGCCGUCGAAGGUGGGACUGGUGAUUAGGACUAA
rnacentral:rRNA from 1 species